CAUGCCUUACACAUGCAAGUCGAACGGCAGCACGGACUUCGGUCUGGUGGCGAGUGGCGAACGGGUGAGUAAUAUAUCGGAACAUACCCAGUAGUGGGGGAUAACUAUCCGAAAGGAUAGCUAAUACCGCAUACGAUCUGUGGAUGAAAGCAGGGGAUCUUCGGACCUUGUGCUAUUGGAAUGGCCGAUAUCUGAUUAGCUAGUUGGUAGGGUAAAAGCCUACCAAGGCGACGAUCAGUAGCUGGUCUGAGAGGACGACCAGCCACACUGGAACUGAGACACGGUCCAGACUCCUACGGGAGGCAGCAGUGGGGAAUUUUGGACAAUGGGGGCAACCCUGAUCCAGCAAUGCCGCGUGAGUGAAGAAGGCCCUCGGGUUGUAAAGCUCUUUUGUCAGGGAAGAAACGGAGUUCUCUAAUAUAGGAUUCUAAUGACGGUACCUGAAGAAUAAGCACCGGCUAACUACGUGCCAGCAGCCGCGGUAAUACGUAGGGUGCAAGCGUUAAUCGGAAUUACUGGGCGUAAAGCGUGCGCAGGCGGUUUUGUAAGUCUGAUGUGAAAUCCCCGGGCUCAACCUGGGAACUGCAUUGGAGACUGCAAGGCUAGAGUGUGUCAGAGGGGGGUAGAAUUCCACGUGUAGCAGUGAAAUGCGUAGAGAUGUGGAGGAAUACCGAUGGCGAAGGCAGCCCCCUGGGAUAACACUGACGCUCAUGCACGAAAGCGUGGGGAGCAAACAGGAUUAGAUACCCUGGUAGUCCACGCCCUAAACGAUGUCUACUAGUUGUCGGGACUUAAUUGUCUUGGUAACGCAGCUUACGCGUGAAGUAGACCGCCUGGGGAGUACGGU
rnacentral:rRNA from 1 species